AUGGCCUGGACCCCUGUCCUGCUCGCCCUCCUCACUCUCUGCACAGGUUCUGUGGCCUCUUCUGAGCUGACUCAGCCACCUGCGGUGUCCGUGUCCUUGGGACAGACUGCCAGGAUCACCUGCCAGGGAGACAGCUUAGGAAGCUCUUAUGCUUACUGGUACCAGCAGAAGCCAGUCCAGGCCCCUGUGCUGGUUAUUUAUGAGCGUAGCAACCGGCCCUCAGGGAUCCCUGACCGAUUCUCUGGUUCCAGCUCAGGCAACACAGCCACCCUGACGAUCAGCGGGGCCCGGGCCGAGGACGAGGCUGACUAUUACUGUGGGUCAGCUGACAGCAGUGGAAACCACAUGGGAAAAAAUUACGUUCAAAAACCGCCACCCCGCAUCAGGCCCAUACCCACAGCUGGCACCAAUAAGAGCCACCCCCUGAGGGAGGUGUCCCCAACUGCCCAUCCCACCUGCGUGACCUCCCACGACCCCACAGACAGGAGCAGGGAUGCCUCCGUAAGCCCAGCCCCCUCCUCUUCCAGAUGA